CCCGACUGCUAUCGGGGUGGGGCUAAGCCAUGCAAGUCGUGGGCCCCAGGCCAUGGUGGGGCCCGGCGCACGGCUCAGUAACACGUGGCUAACCUACCCUCGGGAGGGGGAUACCCCCGGGAAACUGGGGAUAAUACCCCAUAGGGGAGGGCACCUGGAAUGGGCCCUCCCUGAAAGGGGUUCAGCGCCAUGCCCGCUGAACCCGCCCGAGGAUGGGGCUGCGGCCCAUCAGGUAGUUGGCGGGGUAACGGCCCGCCAAGCCGAAGACGGGUAGGGGCCGUGAGAGCGGGAGCCCCGAGAUGGGCACUGAGACAAGGGCCCAGGCCCUACGGGGUGCAGCAGGCGCGAAACCUCCGCAAUGCGGGAAACCGUGACGGGGUCACCCCGAGUGCCACCUGCUGAGGGUGGCUUUUCCCCGGUCUAAAAAGCCGGGGGAAUAAGCGGGGGGCAAGUCCGGUGUCAGCCGCCGCGGUAAUACCAGCCCCGCGAGUGGUCGGGAUGUUUAUUGGGCCUAAAGCGUCCGUAGCCGGCCCAGUAAGUCCCUCCUGAAAUCCACGGGCUCAACCCGUGGGCGGGGAGGGAUACUACUGGGCUAGGAGGUGGGAGAGGCCGAGGGUACUUCCGGGGUAGGGGCGAAAUCCGUUAAUCCCGGAAGGACCACCAGUGGCGAAGGCGCUCGGCUGGAACACGCUCGACGGUGAGGGACGAAAGCUGGGGGAGCAAAGGGGAUUAGAUACCCCCGUAGUCCCAGCCGUAAACGAUGCGGGCUAGGUGUUGGGUGGGCUUCGAGCCCACCCAGUGCCGCAGGGAAGCCGUUAAGCCCGCCGCCUGGGGAGUACGGCCGCAAGGCUGAAACUUAAAGGAAUUGGCGGGGGAGCACCACAAGGGGUGAAGCUUGCGGCUC
rnacentral:rRNA from 1 species